AUGCUCACUUUGGCAGCGUGUAUAUUAAAACUGAAGCCAUACAGAGAAAAUUGGCUGGGCUCCUGAGCAGAGACAACUUAGAAACUCACGAGACACUUAGAUUUUUG